rnacentral:lncRNA from 1 species
CCAAAGCUCUCUCUUUGUGCAACCAUUGUUGACUUACUUAUGGCAUUGGUAUAGAACGACUUGCUUUUCUUGAGCAAGAAAGUUAAUGUAUUCUUUAAAUAAUUAAGAAAAAUGAUGUAUUCUUUUUCCUUUGUCUAUGGUUUUUGUUCUUGAAUACAAUAAGGUUUUUCUAGAUAAGGUAUUAAUGAGGCAAGAAUUGUUGAUCAUGCGAGAUUAUAGAAAAGUAUAGAUCAUAAUUCUAUGUAAAUUUUAUAUUAUAUAAAUAUUAUGACAAGUAGGGAGGGGUGUUGAGAGUAUUAAAUGUAGCUCGCAUUCUUCAUAACAUUCACUAUAGUUACAAUAAAUAUUAUAUCUAUAGUCUUUAGAAUGUAGUAGGAAAAAACUAUUUAUCUUCUCUUCUUCUCUUUGUAUACAAGUGAGAAAACCACAUCAUUACGCAAUUUUUUUUUAGAAGCUCUCUCUUGUGUGUGUGUUUUUGUGCGUGUACACAUUACUUCUAGCUAGUCUUGUGUCUCUCUAAAAACAUUCUCAACAAAAAUAAGCGGCUGCCUCACCGACCGAACCCUUGCCCGAACGGCAAUGGGUCCCGAGGCGGGCCCACGGUGGUUCGCCAGGACCCGCUGACGCCCAAUGCUCGUGGGCUGUUACAGGAGUCCGGCAAGGAGGCCUCAGUGACGAGCAGUGGCGCGUUGUGUCGCGUUGCGUUGCGUUCGGAUCCGAACGCGAGAGAUGGACGACAGGAUUAUUGUUCUGGUGGAGGCCUCGAUCACAGCAUCAAGGACCAGCUCCUUCCGCGAUCAUUCAUGUCACCAUUCUGUGAAUUUAUAGUUCAUUUGAUAUCAUUUGAUCUCAUUCAGGAAUCAAGUGGCGUUCAUUUGCUUCAUGCGGGCGCAUGCUCAGAAUGGGAUGAGUCGAGGAUUAAGGGCGAAAUAGGGCGAAUUAGCCAUCGCCGCCUGAACGACGACUUGAAGGAUAUCGCUCUCCUGUCAGCUUCGCCUAAUUCUGUCACCUCCUGGGUAAACCUAAGCUCUGGAAGUGUAUUCAGAAGGAUUUUAUCAAUGUAGGUCUGAUUUGCCUCUACUUGUUCAGGUUCGCGGCGAUUGAUAUUACUUCUUUGAUUGAUUCUGCAUUGCAAUGUGGUCAUGAUAUGUGUCUCGGAGGUUUGCUUUUUUAGAGGAGACCCGCGCGUUGCAGAAUUUCGACAACUUUAUUAACCCUAUUCUUCGUUGCAAGCAGUGAGCACGACUGUCUACACGCUGAAAGUUUCAUGAAGGAAGGGCUGAUUGAGGAGGAUUGUAAGAGUUCUUGUUCUGAUGAAAGGGGUGAUCCGAAAUUUGAAACAAUCAGCUGAGCCGUCUUCGGUAGAGGAAUUUGGUGAGAUACAAAUUUUCUUCUAAAAACCGCGUAUACACGUAGGCCUCCAUUGGUAAUUGAAGAGUUAAGAACCCUGGAUUUGAGGUUUAGGGUUUACUGUUGUACUUAAUGACUUGAAUGUUACAAUUUCAUUUUUCCGGUACGUAGCAUUGCAGCAGAGUAGGAGAUUGGUUAUAAUCAGAGUAUUAGUGGCAAUUCAGAUCCGGAACAGCUCUACAGUCUUGAUACACAGCUACGGAAGUUUAUCUAAGCAAGACUUCAAACUGUGUAAGAACAUACCUUAAGUGUCCCUGAAUAGUGCAGCUUUAGUAGCUAGAGCGGGUGCAGAACAUACAAAUACUGCACUGCAACGUAUAUGUAUGAAUAUGACGCGUGCAAGCGCGUUACGUGACGCAAUCAAGUGCUUUGUGUAGGGAUAUCAAGAAGGGGUUGCCAAAGUGAUGACCAAAAACUCUCAAGAAGAAGCUGCAGCCAGUAGAAGAUCCAAGUAACGUGAGGAGGAAAUGAUAAGAUCGUGCUUUGUUAGGGGAGUUGUGAAGGACGAACUGCCACUUGAGAAAACACUAAUAUAACAGAACAUGGAAUAGCCUUAUUGUAGACGUACUACAUCAAAGCGAGAAGAGGUUCGUUCCGAGUGGAAGUGUUGUAUUUGCUGCAUUAGAUUUCUGUAUGCGCAUCGGAACCUGAAACUCCGUGAGAGGUUAGACAUAGUGUUUUGUGGAAUUCAGGUGAAGUUCGUGAUUCAUUUUUGGUUGCAAUGCGGUGAAACGCUUGACAACCCGAUUUUCAAGCCGCCUCUUGCAUCGCGGCUCUAUCACAGUUGCUGACAUUGGUGGCCUGUCAGGAUAUCGGGUAGCAAUCAUGGAAAUGGCGGCUGUAACUGUGCGCGCGAAAUUUUUGGCCAAUCCGAAGGACGUUGGCGUACCGGGAGUAUUGAUGAUAAAUGUGCAGGGACUAAAAUGGACUCCGAAUGAUCCGACUGCGGGGACGGUCCUGGAUGUCAAGUCCUCUUUCAUAACCUCGCAUCAAUGUAGCAAGGAAGUCCCCAACAAGAAAGCGUUCAUGAAAGUGACCACUGAUGUUGAGGGCAGAUCUUACAUGUUCGAGUUUCAGAACUAUGCUGAGCGAGCACCGGCGCGUGAUGCUUUAAGCAACGUAAUAGCAAUGAAUAAGGCUGGGGCCGGAGGCUCUGCUCCAACCCCGGCGUCUGCGUCCACUGCAGCAUUGGUGAAGCCGGCGUCUAGUGGGGACCAGUUGGACCCUGCCGAGAUGGGACGAAGGAUGAAGCUCUUGCAGCAGGACCCAGACCUGCUGAAGCUUCAUCAACAGCUUGUUGGUGGGAAUAUCUUAUCAGAAGUUGAUUUUUGGGCAACUCGGAAGAACUUGUUGGAAGACGAGCAGAGUGGAGUGCAGAAGCAACGGACAGGACUCAGAAGUGCCAUGCUUGCAGAUGUCCGCCCACUUACAGACGGAAGAACGAACAAGGUCACGUUUAACCUCACUCCAGAAAUCAUUCACCAGAUCUUUGCAGAAAAGCCUGCCGUCCACCGCGCGUUUCUUGAGAAGGUUCCCUCGAAAAUGACGGAAAGUGCAUUUUGGACCAAGUAUUGUCGGGCCGAAUAUUUGUACAGGACCAACAACCGCGCCGCAGCGCUAGCGGAGGCUGCCGAGGAUGAGGAUUUAGCCGACUUCACUAGGGAUGACGAUAUUAUUGCCAAAAGUGUCAAGCACAAGAUUCAGAGGGUAGAUCCUACGCUGGAUAUGGCAGCCGAUUUGAACGAUGAUUACCUUUCUUUACCAGGACACGGAGUGCUUCGAGAUGGAGCUAAAGAAAGUGUGGAGAUGAUCGAGGGUGGUAAUCGAACUCGCACUAUUAUUCACGACAUUAAUCGCCAUGCCGCCGUUGUUCUUGAAGGAACUCCUUUGGAUACGGAGUUAAAAGAUACGACCACGGUGGCACACGCUCUGGAAAGGGCACGACUGAAAGAUGCUACUAAUGAGGUAGCAGAUCGGGGUGCUGACAAGCGUAGAACGGAGAGGAUCAUCAGUAUGACAGAAAUGGAAGAUCUUCAGGGGCCUCCCAGUUCAUCUUUUGUCCCUCUUACCAUCCAAGAUCCCAGAAAAUAUUUUGAUUCACAGCAGGCCGCAGGGUUCGAAGAAGGAAGCGCAACUGGGCUGACUUCCAUGUCUGCUGAUUCAGCUACUUUGUUAAGUGUUUUCAAAUCACAACUAAAUAAUUUUCAGGCUGGAAGACACAGGGACCCCGCAAUCGCACCUGAUCUAGCGUUCAAGAUACUUACUGACGUCACCCAGCACAUUGCAAGUUCGAGACAUACCACGGGUACUGCAGCGGAGCGAAAUAUUUUAGACAGUUUGCCAAGGGCCACAAGAGACGAGCUUAUGCAGCACUCCAACACUGCGAACGAGCUGCUUCGUCACUUCUGGGCUGCAUACCCUCUGACGAACAAAGUACUAGCAGAGAAAGCAACCCGGUUGAAAGAUGCCAUGGCGCAGUUGUACAGUCGUAUACAAAGUAUGAAGGAGAGCGCUCCAGCUGAUGUUCGGCAUCAAUUAUCGAGGCUUCUGCAGCCGCUCUUUCAAACAUUAGAUGCUGCGUUUUCUCAUUAUGAAGGGGAGGCAGCCAAAAAGGCAGAAGCUGUAAAGAGAGCGAGAAUCGCACAAAGACCCAAUUUAAACAUUCCUUUGGAUGAAAUGGCCAGCUAACCUCCUUAGCAAUGAGAGCUUCAAUUACGUCGAUAUAUGUCAUCUUGAUAUCCUGAGCGUCAUACCGGGUUUAACACUUUUUUCAGACAAGCUGUCGGAUUUUCGAUGCGGCUAUCCUUCAGCAGCUGAAAAAUGCUCAGGAACAGAUUGACGGAAUGUAGAGAAAUCCUAUUUCUCAAUGGAUUGGCAGUAUGUCUUAUAAUCCUCCAAGAACAUUUUGAAGGCUUUGAAAAAUGGGAAUUUUAUUAAAUCUUUUGAACUAAAUCGAAGGCAUUUGAACUGUUCUGACUUAUAUACGGUCUUGAUACACGAAUUAUAGCUGGGAGUAGGGAGUAUUUUGAUUCUGAACGGAUCAGGUAGACGCUGCAGUCUAUGUUUGCUUGUGGUGUUGAACCGGAUUGUUUGUAUGAGAUAUAUUAGUUGCGUAUUCUGAGUUAAUUUUCGUGUUGGUGCAGUGGCGAAAUACAGUUGAAUAUGAAUAUUCCAGAAUCAGUUUAGUCAAUAGUUUAGUCAAUGGGUGCUGCUGCUUGUGAAGUUUUCGUAAGAGUGUACGACGUGAAAAAGUCAUUUGUUUCGGGUGCUUAUGAGUGAAAAAAUACGUCCUGGCUAAUGUCUAUUCUGUUUCUAGAAUUUCACGUACUAGUGUGACUAAGAAAUAAAUUGGUACACGAUCUGGAGGUCAAGUGAAUAGGGGAUCAGUCGCACAAAGAACAGCAUCGAUACCAGGUUGUUUAAAUGGAAGGCAUUCGAAUUUUCAACUGAGACAUUAUUUCAAGCAGGUCAUUGUGUACUCCAAUUUGUAAGAAACGGUUACUUGAAUUGACGAAGUUUCGAAAUGUACGUACUCUUCAAUCAUGUUUUGAACUGUACAGAUUUCAUGCAAGGAUCUGGCGAACGUUUUUCUACACUUCUGUUCCUACGGUAUUUCUAUAUAUCUAUUAUCUCAAACCACCCUCCCCACUUUGGCAGGUCUUUGAAGGGAACUGGCGCCUAUCUUCCUCUUAGUCUCAGAUGGGGUGCUCUGCAUCUUCCGCAGUGAUUGCAAGAGGGAAUCAUUCUUAUCGUCAGUAUUUUGCUUACUGUCUACCACCUUGGCAAACGGAUUACUAGGCUUGAAGCUAGAUAGGGACACAAAUGACACUUUUGGUGGAGUGCCAGCUUUUAAAGACCCAUCUGAGGGCCUUACUUCGGUCAAGUCAUGGGCAGGAUCCGCAGUUACUCUCUUGUGAGAUUUCUUCAGUAUUGAUCGAAAUUCUGAUCUAGGCUCGGCUGUUGACGUAUCUGCGGUGGCACAUGUGGUAGGGGCGGCACCCUGGCUAUCCCUGUCUGAGCUAUUAAUAAUUGCCGUCUUCAGUGCAGACAGCUGAGGUCGCGGUGGCUCAGCCAACGUAUUGACUAGUUGUCUAGACGUAGGAGUGUAAGCAGAAGAUGUAACUUGAGCCUGCGGCUGACGUGUAUGUGCUCCAAGGUCUUCGGCUCUCUCUCUGGCACUUUUUUCCUGUCGAUUGCAAUUCAUAUAUCUUCAGUAUAGGGCUAUUAAACAGACUUGCAGGGUGCUAAACGGAUUAUCAACAAUAGCUUGAAUGACAACUUGCUGCUUGAAGGAUUUAUGGACAGCGAAAAAUCAACCAGUAGUGCAGACCUCAAGGAGCUGAUUUAUCCGCUCUGCCAAUGACGGUAACCGCAUGGCAGUUACAAGUUUGAGGGCUCCUUCCAUCGAUUUGUGUAGUGAUAAUUGGCUGGAAAGCUCCAAAGCUCUUGCAAGCUUAUCUCCUGGGAGAGUAAGAGAAGAAACUGUUAGUGUAGGAACUAGUUUCAAGUGUUCCAUGGAGUGAUGUCUUCUGCAUGGUAUUCGGCAUGCAAGGGUUCAAACAAUUGUAUUCAUAAAGGUUCACCACAUGUAGUAGGCCUCCGCACAGUUAACUACAAUACGUAGUGAUAGAAGUGAAUCCCUGUACCUUUACAACAGGAAGCAAUUAGACGUAAGAUACAACGAUCGAGCUCCGCCUCCAUCUCGAACACUGCUUCAUCCGCUUCGUCGUCGUCACGCCCAGCUGCGGCUGCUUCAUCAGCCCUCAACCGUGUCUACAGCGGUGAAGAUAAGUUUAGAAGAGAUCAUACUGAGAGGAGAUCAACCGUCAUUGACUUAACUCUAGUGUUACAGGGAUACGCACCAUGGAAGCAUUACCAACUUGUUUAUCAUCUUUCUGCACUGUCCUGUCCCCAGCUCCCAUGAAGGGAUUCGGGAAACACGACCUCUCACACACCUUCGAAGAGCAGCAGUAGAGAAUACGGAAGUACGGAACAGAGCUUAAAGGCAUGAGGUGAAUACGUACAUGUGUGAGAUGCAGUGUCCCUCUUAGUAAGUCACUUUCUAAAUCAUCAGCUCCUAGGUCGGAGUGCACCACAGGAACGGAUGUGUUGAUGAUGCUCAUCACCGGCUUCGGCAUAACCUGUUCCAGAAGCAGGAUAUGAGAUUGCCUCCAAAUUCAUAACCGCAAGAUAUGAAACUCAUGACUCAAUCACUAUUACUAAGAAGAGGUGACAAGUUGAACACGGGCAGCACCAUGUUGCGAUAUGAAUGUUCCAAAGCCGGGCGUGGACGUGUGCGUUGAUUGCUUUAGGAGUAUGACAAGCUUGAAAGGAGUUAUAAAUAACGCAUUGGAGUUUAAAAUGAUUACCUGAGGUUGAGAUUCAGGUGCCUUGCAAACAAUGCAAUAAACCUGUGUGGUGUUCAGUCCGACCACCCAGUAGGUCUCAUUUUCCUUCGUCCUUUCUGCAGCAGCACUGUUACACGGUCCACAUGUACAUUCAGUAACUGAUAUUCACCCUUCUAGGAUUAGUAUAGUUGAAUGCCAUUAAAAUAUGUUACUGAGUGAGCGGAAUCACGACGGUGGUGAUCACCUGAACACUGGUAUCCAGCAACCGUUGAACUCGCUGCUAUAAACACGAAGCACUCCCUGGAGCAGCAAAAGGAAAUUAGCACCUAACGGCAGAACAGGCGUGUGUUAUGGAAGGCAGCUGGCAUAGUUCAGGAACCAAUCCUACUAUCUCAAUUAUGUGCCGGUCAGGUAGACGAAGCACACACACCUGUGAGUCAUAGGAACUCAGGGAUCCAGCUUCUGAGAAGCCUAUCCAAGUCAAUGUGGACCCUGGACUGAGAGGAAGCCUGCCUGUGAGCAACCGUUUCUGUGUCCUCACGUUCAACAACAUGAAUUCCAACAUCUGAUCUCUUGAGGGUAGAGGGCUUGAAGCAUGGGUAACGACGGCCAAUCGGUCUCCAUUCCCAACCAGUGAAACCACUGGGCCUCCCAGUGAUGUGACGAAUCUCUGCACACGGAAAAAAUAUCGUUAACCUUUGACCAAUGAACGGGUAACUUGAGAAAGCGAGAUCUCGAGAGAAUUCGUUAUCCAAGGCCCACGUAGACUCUCCAAAUUAGGUUCAGGAACCAUUUCACCGUUCCAUAGUUUAACGGUUGAGGAAAGACUGGAGUAAGUCAUUGACCUGCAACCCAGCUUCCGAGUAGACCCGAAGAAAAUAUUGACUGGUCACCGCUGCUAUCCAACCAGUGCCUACCGCAACAGCUUUGACCUCCUCUUCCAAAGGGAACCGCAUUGACCACUGCAAGUGCACCUCAAUGUCAGUGAAGGAGAUGAAACUUCGCAACAGCACGGUAAAAUAACUUAAAAUCAACGGGCUUGGGCUUGCGAUAUCUCUACUCCCGCUACAGGUGCGACUGCGCUAGCAACCGUGUGAUUGAUUGUCUUGGAGAUUAUUAAGAAGUAUGUGUAGAGGAGAUGGGCACUUAGCAUGGUAGCGCAUCUAACCUCACUAUUGCUCGUCCAGCUGUUAAACGGACGAUACAACAUAGUGCUCGGCACAUUUUCUCCUCUCUGCGGAUUGGCGAAGACGCUGCCUCUCUCGUUCAUUGCGGCCAUGGUGAAUCCAAAAUAAUCUGUCAUGGAAGGCACGCGCAUGCCCGAACUUGUGUCAUGGAAAUCCACCUGCCAAUCAUGUCAAGAUCAGGAGAUACCCAUGCCAGCUAAAUGCUGAUGUUCAAAGUAGAUCACAUAGGACAAACUAUCUCAGACGGAGAGGGGUAACCAAACAAGAGAACCCACAACCAGUGUUCACUACAAAGCACAUAUGAAUGUCCUCAAAAUGAGAAAGUCGUUGAUCUCACCUCCACAUGCGCAAAGCCGGCCUCUGUAUCGACUCUAGUAAUACUACCCAGCAUGUUAUAGGCUAAGAAGCGACUCCUUCCGUCGUUGGACUGCGUGCAACCGGGCUGGACAGGGGCUUGCAUGGAUGACCCAGCAUGAGUCUGGCCGUCGAAGGAGCGGGACACACGUGAUUGUCUAAUUUCCCCUGGUGGGCUGAAAACGUCAAUUGCCUCUGCUUCUCUGGAGAUCCUAGCUUUCGGGGAUGGCAGAGUGUCCACUUUCAUGGUUCUCUCGGCCUUUUCAAUCCUCACAGGAAGAAAAGGCUCAUCCUCGUCAUCACUGUCGAGACACGGUGCUCUAGGGACGCGUCUACCGACGGAUAAUUUCCUGGGAGGACUUGGUUCAGGAGGGGUUUGUUCGCGGCUAUCUGAGUCAAGAUCUGUAGAAGUCAUGACAGGUCUCUCAGUUCGCUUGGGCACCAUGUCCUCAUCGUCGUCGCUCCAGGCGUCCAGCCUUCCUCUUAGUCGGGCAGUGUAGGCCUUGGGCGAAGAUGAAGACAUGGCUUUUCAACCAAUUUACUCCUACUAACUCUGCAAUCGCCCACCACUGGUAGACAAUCAGCUACUCCAAAUAAGCAGCAAACAACCUUCCAGAACACACUUCCUCCCUGUUCCCGCAAAACGUCGAUUAGAACCAAAAAGACCCGAAAUCUGAACGAGAAAUUGCAAACAUCACCCUUAACCUAGGUAUCCCCGGCUCCCACAGUAGAUCCUCAAAGGAGACUACGAAUCAAGGUGUUCUAAGAAGAUUUAUCUCUAUAACCCGAAACGAGUGCUGCGAUGAAGGAGGGAUAAUAAUCUCCAAGCCUACAACUCAAGUGUUACAAUGCGACAAUCUGCAACUCACACAGCAACUUGCAUCAACACAUAUUCACUCAAUCCAAGCAGAAUUGAGAACGGUUUUCCCAGAGAGACACAGGAAUUUGGCGGAGGGAAGGUGAGGAGAGUGGCGGGAAAGGACCAAUACAAAGGCGGGAACCGUUCUGCUCAUAUUGGGUCCAACUAAGGCGGGAGAGGGCACCAUUCAUUCAUCCAUUCAAUGACAUGACAAUCCUACAACAGCUCUAUAUCAUGCCGUUGGAAGAACCCAAAUCUAGGUGCUGACGAUAACAGAUCCGGUGAAAUCCUGACAUGGUUAUAACCUGGUUCCGUUAUUGAUCCCCUUCCCAAACUAGCGGUGUCCACCAACAAAACGGAUAUCACAAUCCAGUUAUGGAGCCAAACCAGUAGUAUUAGGUUGAGCCUGAGUUGCCAAUUCUAGUUACUGGCUGUUGGCAUCGAGUCUGGAUCGACGGAGAUGGAAGUAUGAUGUUGUGAAGAGUUUCGGAAUUAGGCAUGUUCUAUUCCUCGGGGGCCAAUUGAGGAGGUUUUUGUAAUUUGUGGAACCCCUUCGUAGGGACUGAGUGUGUCCAGUGGAGGUCGGAUUCAAGGAUUUGGUGGCAAGUUUCUUGAGCUAUGGCGAUGGUCUCAGCCAACUCCGUUCGCUCAGUUUGUUCUGCAAUUGCCACUCCUAUAGCUAAGGUAGUUGGAAAGAGAGCUUCUUUUACUGAAGUUUCAUGUAGCCUCUGUUUGCGGCCGAAAAAAUACAGCAGAGUGGUGCUAAGGGAGAUAGGAAAUGGUAGUCGUGAAAGGUGGAGCUUGGAGAAUGUGAGGCAAUUGCGCGGACAAGUAAGAAGCGUGAAUACGGUGAAAGCGAGCGCUGACGAUGCGGAUGACGUGAGUGAUGAAGAUGUAAUUAAGGACAUGGAGCGUUAUCUCAAUGAAUUGUCUGUUGAGUAUGAGAAUGUUUGGGAUACCAAACCUGCAUGGUAUGUGUAAUCCGGCACGAAUUUUUUCUUAUUUUUAUUCUCUUGUCCAACUGCUUAUUGUCGCAGCUGAAUAAAUCGUGAAGACCCUGCGAUGAGUCAGUAAUUUUGUGAAAAUUUGAAGCGACACAAGGUUUCCCCUUUCGGAUGCUGCGAAUCUGUUUUGGGGAUACUUGUUGGGUUUUUCCGUUUUAGUUUGUAUCUCGACCUAAUUUUGCACUCGCACGACAGUAGACAAACGACGGGUCUACAAGGGCUUUGUGCAAAUGUCUUGCUACUGCAUGCCACAUUUAUUUUGCAGAAAAUAGUCGCGAAUGCGGUAACGAAUGACUUGUUUUUUAAUAUUUAUUUAUUUUUUAUCGUCUUUAGUGUGCAUGGUUCUGUUCGUGAUGUAGCAGUUUGCAGAAACGGUCAAGCUCACAACUUCUCUCUGUUUCCUUGUAGGUGCCAGCCAUGGUCAAUAGUUCUAACAGGAGUCACUGGCGUAAGUUUGUCGUGGUUAGCAAUUAAGUCCACCAUAGUGACCGGGGUUGUAACAGUUUUGGUAGCCGGAUGGUGGUAUGUAUUCCUAUACACAUAUCCUAUGGUGAGCUCACAUAUCCUGCCGCACUCUUGGAUUCCAAUUCCUGCACUAUUAAUCUUGUGACGAUGAUCACGUUCUAGAGCUGAUCAUGGCGGGAUGUUUUGCUUGUGACUCCUGCCUCUUGCACCUGCAUUUGGUCCUUAAUGUCACUGAAGAUUCUUUUUUCUGUUUUCUUUUUUCUUUUAAACUUUUUAAUGCAUCCUGCUGUAAAAAACUGCAACUCAUUGGUGUUGCGUUAUGGGGAUACUUAAAGUUCUUCGUUUUUGUUCAAUUUAGGGUACAACUGGAUUUGAAAUUGUUUUACGGGUGAACUGAGCGAGAGUUGUGAAUCACUCCGCUUAUAGCAUCUUUAUUUGUACUUAACUGGUGAAUUGUGGACCUUUGACAGGCUUAUACUGCAAUGAUUGCGGAAAGGCGAAGGAAUCAGAGGAACGGUACUGAAGAUACUUACGGGUUGCGAACGAGAAAAUAGUAGUCUCCCUUCUUAUUCUUUAGCUUUUGUUGCCAUUGUUGCAGCUUAAGUCCUGAUUUCCCAUCCGAGGUUUCUUAGUCAUCAUCUUCUUGAUUCAAUCAUCUUGGAAAAUUCGAAUUUAGGAUUUCUUCUGUUACUAUGCUCUUAUGGUUAACGCUGUAUGAGCUUGUGAGUUACAUACUGUGGAAAGCGUACGACAUGAAGAGGGGAAACGUCUCAGCUGGAAACAGGCUUUAGCAUUGUGCUUACACUAUAUCGAGAAAUCUUCGAUUGCCUUCUAACUUAUUAGUAUGUCCGCCUCGUGCCGUCACCUACUUUGUGCAGAGUAGUUGAUGGCACAUGGUAGUCCUAACGGACUGACUACCAUGUGCAGUCCUUUCUCCUGCAAUUAACGAUGUUUCGUGGACAAAACUUGCUCCAUGUUGUACACGGGACGAAAAUGGCAGGUUCUAUCACUUGGAAUUCAGACAUCGCUAUGUUUUCCUUCAAUACAUGUAGACACCGAUUUCAGCAUAUGGAUCACUAGAGCUCUAGAGUCUCUGAUGACUUUCCAUGGACACGGUACGCUUGUCCUUGAAGUCAGGUGCAAUUGUGACGUGCUGGGCGGUACUCUCCACUUUCGCCAGCAAUAGCCCCAACUUCAUGGUCAAUGCUGGUAAUGACUCGUGAUACCCACUCCAUUGUUGUCCUCUCAAUCUCUUCAUGUUGAAUCAUUGCCGGUCCCGCAAUUAGGAAGCUGUCGCCAUCCUGCAAAUGCUAACUGGCGAACACACGAUUUGACGUUGUUCGUAUACUCCAUUAAGAUUCUUUGAGUAAUUCGUGGACAAAACUCACCAGCAAAAGUUUUGCACACGAUGGACUCAAGAGCGGUAAAAUGUCGCUAUACAAGUGUUCAACUUUCUUGAACUACUGAGCCAAAGUAGUGCUCGAUCUACUGGUCUUUACUAUUUCCGACGACAGUACCGUUGAUAUGUGUCCACAAAAGUUUUGCGCUGUGAUCGCGCAGACACAAACGAAUGUAUAUAAUCAAUAUUCUCUUAAAUUCAAUAGUAAACCCCGAACAUGAGCGAUACAAUGAUAACUCUCUGACUUUCACCAUUUCGUAUCUGCCCGAGAUGAUAACCAGGAGAUGUAAAUGGGGUAAGAUGUUCUCGGAUAUGAACUUGGAUUGUUCUCUUCAUUUCACUUUAAAUAUCUAAUCCAGUUCCCUAAGUCGAAGUUCAGAAGCCCAAAUUAUACUCUAACUUUUCUUCCAAAGUAAGUGCGAAAUCUCUUCACAUUGCAAUGCAGCUGCACUGCUGUCUUCAGGAUGGGCGUCCGGGAGAAUCCUUUCUCCCUGCCCUGCUCCCCUUGCGCUGACUUUCAACGCAUCCUGAUUUAAUAAUAGUUAGCAAGAAUUUCGGUCGUUGAUAACAGUAAAUAACAUUGAAAUUCUGCUAAAAUAACUGCAUGUGCAUUUAAGGAAAAAAGUAGAACGAAGGCAAGAAUCCCUAACUCCCACAUUAGAUGCUGCUACCAAACCAGCUAUACCACAAGCUAUUAAAAGUGAAUUUGGAUCUCGGUUAUUUAUUCUCUCUCAGACUCACCAAUUAUAUUAUAAACCUGCACAUUUCCUUAUAUACAAUUAAUUAUUUAUUUGUAUAAUUAUUUAUUUAUAUAUUUAUAUAAACAUAUACCUUGAAUUGGGAUUGUAACUCGGAGUCAACAUCCUUUUGGUGGAGAAAUGCCUUCCACUGCACCAGGCACGCUGCAUGCCUUUCACGCAAGCAAACUGCUCGCAUUCACCCACGUUUUGUCGAACUUAUUUGGAAAUCGUACCAGGAUAUUCCGAAGUUAAUAUGGUAGUUCCUGUGAGAGAAAAAUAAGUGUAUUGAAUGAAUUUAGGUUUACCAUGAUCCGUUUAACACAGGAAUUUAUGGUUUGUUGCAUCCUUAAAACUCGGCCGGGCUUUUGUAAUCAUGGUUCAUGUACGUGAGAUACCAACUUUUAUAGCUUGAUUCUAAAUUUGGAUAUCCGGACACAAGUCCAUAGCGAGGACACCCUCCGUAGGGUUUGGUAAUCUCCGAAGUCCUAGUUGGGGCUUUUUUGUUUCUUUUUGUUUUUUUAACGAUAUGGGGGAGUUCCUGAGCGCAUGAUCGUCUCCUGCGUCGACGGCGCGGAGUGGAAACAUUGAGCGAAUAUCACGUUCGAGAUCAAAGCAAACAAAUGCACAUCUCAUGAAUGUAGAGCGGCGUUUGUGAGAAGAUCGGAUGAAGCAUAUUCACUCCCAGGCUCUUCAAUAAGCGCAAGCACAGUUCUGCGGUGUAAACGGAAUACGACCCGCACCGAUGAACGAUAAUCGUCCACUAAUCGGCGAGAGGACUGCCGUCUGCGUCAAUUUCGUCGCGAGGGGAAUAAGAGUGAAGUUUGAUUAGAGACGAAGAGUGCGUUUUGAGGCGAUUGGCUGUUGGUUUAGAUAGCAGGGUGGGGGGAGGGGGGUACAAGUGAUAGGGAGCGGUAGACCAUGAUUGCAAUGUGAGCGACCUUCCGAGUUCAGCUAUUCCAUCACCAGCACCAAGCUACACUGUUUUGCUGCCUCGCCAUGUUUUUGGCGCGUCCUACCUCCCUCCCUUGACCUAUUCCGGUGCAGUAGAACAUUGUGGGGUUCUGGGCCGAGGUAUGAUACGGAGCUGUGCUUGAAGGUUGCAGCGUGCGCAUUUUGCAGCAGCCCGGCGAAGGUAGAGCGCGUCUCGGCGCUUGGCGCACGGUGCAAUGCCAUUUAGAGUGUCUGGUUGAAGUUGCGUUUUUUGCGCCGGUGGCAGAGCUUUUGUUGGUGUUUUGCCGUCGGUUCCUGUCAAUCUUUAGUUUGCAGAUCUGUGAAGUAAUUCGUCAUAAAUCUCAACUCGGUUUUUGGCGGCCUUGAGAAAUAUGGAUGCUUCCGAGCGUAUUCCCGUGGAGGGUGUCCAUGCUGAAUCCAUUUCAGCCAGUCAGGUUUGUACUAGUUGCAUUUCUUCCUUUUGAGAAUUUCGCCUCGUUGGUGGGAGAUUUUUUGUAGCAUUUUAUUUCGGGCAGGUUUGCAGGAGAUUCAGAGAGGUUGAAACACAUAGUACUACACACUCAAGCUCUAGCUCUUUCGACGAGUGUGUCAAGUUUUCUGAUCUAGAACCUCGAAAUUAUCCUGUAAGGUCAUUUAAGAGGAGAAACUCAUGAUAAUAUGACAUCAGAGAUAGAUGUUUUACCCUCUCUUUCGUGCAAGUCUAUUCGCUGAGAAUGCUGGAAUAAGCAAUUAUUAGCAGUAACUUUAUGUGGUAGAAGUGUCGCGGGUGUCGUAUAGAACUCGUUUUGUCUGUUGCUAAGUAUUUAGAUCACGAAGUAGCUAAGCUGCAAACAAUGUUGUUUCUGCAGUGAAACUCCUCAUUGUUAAAUAUAUUGCUUUUUAGCUAUUGAGACAGCAGGUUCAGCCCUCAAAGACCAAUGUAAAGUUUUCCAUACCAGUCAACCAGAUGACCCGGGGCACACUUCCUGAGGCCCGUCUUUUCAUGUGAUGUCUGUAUGCUGAGGAUUAGUUCCGCCGAUUGAUUGUUCACAUUAUUGCUACGUGUUAGAGAAGCAGGUGGCAUUCUUUCUCGGUCUAAUGCCCUUGAUAAUUGCAUGGAUCUACGCCGAGAUACUGGAUUUCAAGAAAUUUCCAACCUCGACAAAAGGGUAAGUUCCACAGCUCCCGUACUUUUACCUGAAGCUUUUAGCGCGGAAUUAGAUCGAGAUUAAGUAAAUAGAUGUCGAGAUACACGAAUCGAAACCCCUUACACUUGUUUCUUCUGAUCAAUUUAGCUGUCGUGAAAGGAUUUUAAGGAAAGAGCCAUUUACUUAUUUUAUAUGUCCUUCGUGGUUAGCGACUUUCGUAGAGAAGUUGGAGGUUGAGUCAGAUUUAACAAGGGUCGUUAUAAAGGCAGCAUCAAAGAGUGCUUAAUAUCGGCAAGGUUUGAUUGUCAUAGACAUGAUGAUGUGGAUCUCGAAGAGUUGAAAGAUGGAUCUAUCAAGGAUGAGGAGAAAGCUACCUUGCUUGAGAGUAGCCUUUCCGUGAGUGGAAGUUUUAGGUCUGGACCUGCUCCAGUGCGAACGUCUCUAAUCAAGUACGCCACUCCUCACCGUAUCUACGUUACAUUCGUACGCAACUCUUCUGAAAUCAAAUUAAGAUAAUUUAUGUUGAAUCUGGGUUCUUCCGACCUGACAUUUCUUGGUGCACUUGCAGAUUUUUAACGUUGAAUGAGACCUUUUUGGUGGAGAAUCGUCUCACAUUGAGGGCUAUGUGAGGUUUCUCACAUUUGCAGAGUCAAUGUAUUUCUUUGUUUAUUAGUUCUUUUUAAGAAAAUUUAAAAGAAUCUCUCAUUUUUCGGUGCUUGGUUCUGGACUCAAUAGUAACGGGAGGAGGUGUUAUUUAUGGAUAAGCGCGUGUUAACACUUUUUAAUGAAGAAUUGGCUCAACUGUUGUUCAGCUUAGAUAUAGCCCAUCUCGGAUUCUAUUUACUUUCAUGUAGCUCAGUUUUAUUCAAACAAUAAGAAAACUGAAACUAGCUAGGGUCUUUCCUUCUUUCUUUCAUCUUCUUCUUCCUUACCUACUUAUUUAAAGCAUUAUAGUAAUGCUGUGUACUUUUCGUUUAUUUGCAGCGCCGAAUUCCUUGGCCUCCUCUGCUUCCUAUACCUGUGUGAUCGAACAAAUAUCUUUUCUGCAUCUAGAAAGGUAAUCGCCAAUCAAUGCAAAGGGCUUUGAGGUCCUAUUUUAUAUCUGCUGUCAUCUGCAAGCAUGUAGAGGAGAAAGCGCACAUCCACAUUCUUGUAACAUUCUGUUUAACAGUAAUUCUCAUGUGAUGAUGAAACCGGUUCUAAAAUGUGUUGUGCAGCAUUAUAGUAGGGACCUGUUUCUCUUCUUGUAUCUCUUGUUGGUUCUGGCGUCUGCCUUAACCUCUUUGAAGAAACACGUCGAUAAAUCGAUUGCAACUGGAAAAUCUAUUCUGUACUUGAAUCGACAUCAAACGGAAGAAUGGAAGGGCUGGAUGCAGGUUUGCUUUAUCUCAUCCGUAUCUGAUAAUUUGGAAGAAAUAGUUCUAGAUUGCAUUUGCUCUCUGUACCUGUUUGUUGGGUAUGUCAGCGUGUACUCAAAGGAUCAAAUCGUAGAUCCCAACCUAGUUUAGGUAUUUAUGUUUUAGUUGUGUUUAUUAGUUCCCUUUAUUUGCUUAUGUAAUGAACGCAGAGUAUUUUCACCGCCACCUUCGAGGAUAAUAAACUUGUACAAAGCAUAUUUGUUACAUUCACUUCAUUUGUUCUUCUGACAUCGUUUGGAUUUUUUUCGUGCAGGUCCUUUUCCUCAUGUAUCACUAUUUCGAAGCUAAAGAGUUUUAUAAUGCCAUUCGAGUUUUUAUUGCUGCCUACGUUUGGAUGACGGGGUUUGGCAACUUUUCUUACUAUUACAUUCGCAAAGACUUUAGCUUGGGCCGUUUUGCACAGGUAUGUAUGAGCGUCUUGAAUAUGAUUAGUGGCGGUAAUUUUGGUGCGGGUUGCACUGUUAGCCUGUUUUCGGAACUACGAAUUCAAGUGUUCAUGUACCUCCAGUUAAUGUUUUUCAAAAAUCGAAGGGGUACCUUAAUAGUGCUUGAUGAUGUGACAGAUGAUGUGGCGGCUCAAUUUUCUGGUCUUCUUUGCCUGUAUAGUGCUGAACAAUGACUACAUGCUUUACUACAUUUGUCCAAUGCACACACUUUUCACUCUCUUGGUGUACGGGUGUCUUGGGAUAUAUUCCAAGUACAAUGAGGUGCCUUCUGUGAUGUUUACAAAAAUAGUUGUUUCAUUUCUGGUGGUGGUUAUCGUGUGGGAGAUCCCUGGCGUUUUUGAACUUCUCUGGAGCCCUCUCACUUUUCUUCUCGGUACGUUCACCAAAUUUAAGCAUCAGCUUAUCAUACAACUUGUCAUCCCAUUGUUUCACGUUGUCUUUUUUGUGUUCAUAUGACUUGGUUCAAGCACUAAAUGCCACUUAAAUUGGUCCAAUGUCAUCUUUUUGUUUCUUCUGAAUGAUACUACGGUCUUUCAGCUUCAAAAUAUGAUACCUAAUUUCUUUGGAACCCUUGGGAAUAAAAUCUUUCUCCUUCAAAAUCUGCGUGAUGGUGAAAUAGAUUUUGAUGGUGUAUUUGAACUGUUAAUGUGCAUGAUGGACUAGUUGUGCACCAUUCAUAAAUUGUGAUCCUUAAUUUCAUGGCAGUUUAAUGAUAACCUAGCGAUAGUUGCUGAGUAUUUUUACUUAUUUUUGCAGCGUAUCAAGAUCCUUUAUCAAAGCACCCCACUCCCUUGCUGCAUGAAUGGCACUUCAGAUCAGGACUGGAUCGAUACAUCUGGAUUGUGGGCAUGCUCUAUGCGUAUUUUCAUCCUACGGUAUUAACAUUUGGACUUUUGUUUCGAAAGAAAAGACGUAUAGUUAUCGUUUGAGUUCGCAGCAUGUUGUGUACUAAGUUUCUGGCAUUCUUGUCAUGACGUGAUGGUGUGGCACUUCGCGCAGUUUCAUAAGUGGGGAAGAUUUGUAGUGAGGCUUAUGAACUGAUUGAUUUAAUAUCGGCUUCCAAGAGAUUGACAAUCUUUAUAUGUUCGCAGGUAGAAAGGUGGCUUGAAAAGGUAGAGGAGAUGGAGUACAAAAGAAGGACCUUUAUCAAGUCUGCCGUUAUAUCUGCUACGAUGCUGGUAAGUUUUUUUAGUUCUUGAGCAAUUGCUUGCUUUGAAGUUAGUCAAAAUGCAGAGCUCAUUUAUAUUGUUUGUUCGUCUGGAUGUUGUCGAUCUAAAAGGUUGGAUAUGCUGAUACUAGGUAGCAAAUUCUCCCGCUGAUAACCUUUGUGUAUUUGCAACUGCAGAUGGGUUAUAUGUGGUAUGUUCACAUUUACACUCUUGAUAAGACUUCCUAUAACAAGCUGCACCCUUACACGUCAUGGAUCCCUAUCACGUACGCCCUUGAUCUCACUUCUGUCGAGGAUGAUCCUCGUGGUUCCUGCUGUCUAUUGUCAGUGUUGUAUGUCCAAAAUGAUCUACAAAGAUCAAUGCGUUUGGGCUUUCGGUACAAUAUUUGCCGACCCUCGCGGGUGUCAGUUGUUCUUUUAUCUUUCAAAACUUUUUAAUUUCUUAAAAUUAAUUAACCAGAUUUUCAUAUAUUGAUAAGAUCGUUUUUACCUUGGAAUUGGGUCCAGGGUGUACAUUGUUCUACGAAAUUUAUCGCAGUCACUUCGCAACUAUUCCCUCACCCUCUUUGCGUAAGUGUACCUCGGACGUUGUUGAUACCUGUAUUGCAUGCACAUGUUUCUUUGCAUAAUGUGUAUAGAUUGUUAGGCCGUCUGAUUUAGUUUCUAUAACACAGUAUAUUGUGCUUGAUCAUUUUGGAACAUCCCAGUAAACUAGAUUGCCAGCUAUGAAACUUUCCUUUUUCAAUGCAGAUGGCUUGGGAAAAUCACUUUGGAGACAUAUAUCUCGCAAUUUCACAUAUGGCUGAGGUGAGCAGAUUUGAAAAUUCCUGCAGCAAUAUUAAGGUCACAAUUGAACUAUUUAUGUUACAGAAGUAAAUUUGCCACAUACUUGACACUGAGGAUCAUGGAUAACAUUCUCCAACCUACUAGCAUGGGAUUCUUUCGCCCUUAUGAACCUAGUGUGGUAAAUUUAGGAACCAUUGAGUGUAUUUUAAUCAAGUCUCAGGCGUUUUUAAUAUUUUCGAGUUCCCUUCAUUUUUUUAAACUAAAAGUAUUGUCUUAAAACUUGAAACAAUGUACGUACUCGUGUAGGUUGUUGUGAUGAAAAAGUGACAAACGUUCUGAAUAUGUGACACAUUUUGUUCCUUUCAGGACUGGUAUCUCAAAUGGACAACCAAAGCUGUUACUGUCCAUUAUUCAGGACUAUCCAUUGCUCAACUUCAUGUUGACAUCUGCCAUCUAUAUCUUGGUAAGCAUUUGCCAAGCUAGUUUGAUAUUUGAGAUGUUAUUUGAUUAAGUAAUCCUAGAACUUUUUGGUGUGUAAUUGUUUAGUAUCUAAUAUUUUGGUUACUCUUUGGCUUUAGGUAUCUUACCGGUUUUUUGAGUUGACGAAUCGCUUGAAAAAUGCUUUUGUCCCUCACAAAGACAAUUCGCGAUUGUAUCAAAUGGCUACUGCUGGGGCUGUGUUAUGUGUCAGCUUCUAUCUUGUGGCUCAAACCACCAUGAAUCUCCCCUUUCCAGCAUGUUCCUUCUGUAUGGUCGACUUCAUUAUUAGUUUUCUGUUUUUUAAUCGGUCGGGGUUUCUUCAUAUUAGUCUAUUUUUGUAGUAAGCGUGAUUCUUAGAUUCGUGUGCAUCACAAUCUUUUUCCGUAUUUGCAAGUCUGAUAUUUUCUUCCUAUUCUGUUUACAGGGUUUGUAGGUGGAGGAAAUCUGUAGUUAGACCCCUUCUUCAUGAUACCUCAUCAGUAUCUUGAUUAUUCUUACAUUUUUAGCCUUCCACUUUUCUACAGUUGAGGCACAUAAAAGUGCCCUUGUAAUCGUUUCGAGUGAGCAGCAUGACUUACAAGAUCUAUCAAUUUUUCACCAGAAAGCUUCAUGGUGGCAGAUCCUAAUUUUACAUCUCUUCCCUUCCAACUUUUGUCAUCAAGUUUUGCGGGAGAUUCCUACAUAAUUUUGUUCGAAGUUCUUUAAUUUAGUUUCCUCCACUCAGGAAGAGACCGCAGGUCAUUGGUGGUCACACUGAGGUGUGGCAGUGGAUAGUCCUGCAUGGUGAAAGUGGUGACAACAUCCUGAAACUGUCAUAUGUUUGCAUCUAUCUUCUUUCGAUCUGUCCACAAAUUUCCAAGAGUUCUUUCCUGCCUAAAUGAAUAUGGGGACAGAAGUGCGAACUGAAAUUGUUCAUCAGUAGCAACUUGGGCUUGAUACUGUAUGGAUUUCUUAUACACGUUGCCUAUG